rnacentral:rRNA from 1 species
UACGUAGGGGGCGAGCGUUGUCCGGAGUUACUGGGCGUAAAGCGCACGCAGGCGGUCCGUUAAGUUUGGAGUGACAGUUGGUGGCUCAACCACCAAAGUGCUUUGAAAACUGGCAGACUUGAGGGCUUCAGAGGGACACGGAAUUCCGGGUGGAGUGGUGAAAUGCGUAGAUAUCAGGAGGAAUACCGAUGGCGAAGGCAGGUCUCUGGGCUGACACUGACGCUGAUGCGCGAAAGCCAGGGGAGCGAACGGG